rnacentral:misc_RNA from 1 species
AACGUAGGAGGCGAGCGUUAUCCGGAUUUACUGGGCGUAAAGCGCGUGCAGGCGGUCCUGCAAGUCAUGCGUGAAAGCUCCCUGGCCCAACCGGGAGAGGCCGUGUGAAACUGUAGGACUUGAGGCAGAGAGAGGCGAGUGGAAUUCCGGGUGUAGUGGUGAAAUGCGUAGAUAUCCGGAGGAACACCAGUGGCGAAGGCGGCUCGCUGGCUCUGUACUGACGCUCAGACGCGAAAACAUGGGGAGCGAACGUG